GCCUGGUUAGUUUACUUGGUAGAACAUGAGACUUAAUUGUGGGUGGGUUGUGGGUUUGAUUCCCACAUUGGGUA
rnacentral:tRNA from 1 species